GUCUCUGGGUCAGGAUACCUGUGUGGAUUUGACCCCAUUGUCACCAGCGAAGCCCAUUAACAAUUCCCGGGAAAUAGAAAUAGAAUCUGGGUGAUAAAGUCUAACCUUUUUUUUUUUUUUUUCCUUUUCCUUUAUGCUUGGUCUAGUUGCACUUGCUCAGAGGGGGUCGCGCGCACAGGCUUUGUACCCGGCCCUUCAGACCCGAAUUCUUGGUGUGAAAUGGCUAUGCCCGGCACCUCAGCUCCGGAGCGUGCGCAGAAGCUCUGCACGCGCCACUGCAAUUCAAGAUGGCGAUGGGGGCGGGCCGUGCGCAGAGACGCUGCGCUGGGAACGUGAGCAGCGCGCCCAGGGCCCGCCCCUAGGUAGCUUCAUCCCCUCCCUACUGAGGAGAUCUCUAGAAAGCAGUUCACCUCACGGCCUGUCCGGGAGGGUGCCGACUCUACGGAGCGAAUGCUCACCUCUCCGUUUUGUGACGGAAAGAUAAAGCUUUCCUUUGCUUCUGAACCAAGGUCGGUCUCGUUCCUGACUCAAAUGACACCUGGCAGGAGAACGCUUGUUGGGGCCCAGCUGGAAAGGCCCAGCGCCAUCAGCCCCAAUUUCAGUUCUCCCACCUUGAGAAAGUGCCAGAUUAUUCAGGUGAGGCCCACAGGCACCCUCCCCUUUCCUUAGCAGCCUGAGUUUUGCAGGGAAGAAGGCACUUGGGUAAGUGCUUUGCUCUGAGUGAACCAGGAUGGGGAAGGAGCUUUUAUCUCUAGGCAAAGUUCAGGGAAAGGAGAACAAAAAUAUUGCUGUGUCUAGGCUUCCUUUAAAUGUAUGGUAACUGGAGUGAUACCCUGGAGAGAGCUGUUUUUCACUCCACAGUUCCACUCCGAUCACGUAAUCUGACUGUCAGGCUGAGCGGGGGCGGGGGCGGGCGGUGGAAUCCUGGGAGAAAGAACCAUCAUUUUGAUGCCUCAGGAAACAGCGACGAUUAGAUCUCAGCGGUCAACGGUGUGUAAUUGGGAUUUUGGGGCUGGGAGAACACAGUCAGAUUUACACAGGGCUCUUCGCCUCUGGGCAUUCUUUUUUUCUGCUAUCAUAUCAUCUCUGGAGCAAAACUGCUUGUUUUAGCUCUUGAUAGAAAAGUAACUUCCCUUUUCCAUUUUUCACAGGCAAUGUGUAAACAAUGAAGAAAGUGAUAGGAUGUCAAUAUGUGUAGCAAUACCUACUUUUGGCCAUACUUGGUGCCAUGGAGAGAGACCGUAGAGUAGAAGAGCUGAGUUUGAGUCCAGUUCUACACUGUUGUGACGCUUCUACAAUGGGGAUAAUGAAACCUGUGAUUCCAACCUCACAAGGCCAUGAGAAUGAAGAAUGGUAAAUAACCAAACAUUCUGAAGCAAUAAAAGAACCCACAUGAAGGAGAGACCCCAGGCUGGGAUGUCAAGUGGAAUAUGUAAAUCGUCAUUUUCAGACUGCUUUCACUUACGUUGCUUUGAUUUCUGAGGCAACUCCAUCCUGAGUUGGUGCCUAUGAGUUUCAUCUUUGUUUAUGUUUGCAACAUAGAACAUAAGCUUCAUGGGAUCAGGAACUUUGUUUCAUUGACUGUUAUAUCCCUGGAAUGCUUGCUGCCUGGUUAUAGUAAGUAAUUGAUUUUCUUGACUGGUUGAAAUUCACAUGUGGUUUCCAAAGGGAUGAGAAGGCAAAUGAGGAAUUUAGAAGAACAAUAAUAUUUUUCAUGAAUGUCUGGGGCUACUUUGAUGGUGAGAGGAAGAGGAAGAGGCUAAUUGCAGAGCACAGGUGUCCAUGCGUCUCACCUUGGACAGGUUCAACCUCCUCCCCAGUCAGACCUUUCACUAGAAUUGCUAGCAAGAAGCAAAUGGGCAGGUCUAGCAAUUAUCUUUAUUUCUUAAUUUCUCUAGGGAAGGUGGGCAAGCUUUUUUUUUUCUCUUAAACUCAUGGAAAUCAGAUGGGAAAGGAUAAUUGAACAAGAGUCCUGCUUAAGAACACUCUAUGUUAUAAAUCACAGCAAGAACCUUUUUGACCCACCUCCUACAGUGAUGCAAAUAAAAACAAAAACAAACAAAUGGGACUACUGAAACUUAAAAGCUUUUGCACAGCAAAGGAAACCAUAAACAAGACGAAAAGACAACCCUCAGAAUGGGAGAAAAUAUUUGCAAAUGAAGCAACUGACAAAGGAUUAAUCUCCAGAAUUUACAGGCAGCUCAUGCAGCUCAAUAUCAAAAAAACAGCCCAAUCCAAAAAUGGGCAGAAGACCUAAAUUGACAUUUCUCCGAAGAAGAUAUACAGAUUGCCAACAAACACAUGAAAGGAUGCUCAACAUCACUAAUUAUUAGACAAAUGCAAAUCAAAACUACAAUGAGGUAUCACCUCACACCAGUCAGAAUGGCCAUCAUCAAAAUAUCUACAAACAAUAAAUGCUGGAGAGGGUGUGGAGAAAAGGCAACCCUCUUGCACUGUUGGUGGGAAUGUAACUUGAUACAGCCACUAUGGAGAACAGUAUGGAGGUUCUAAAAAUCUCAAAUAGAAUCUAAAAAUCUAAAAUAGUUUAAAAAUCUAAAAAUAGAACUACCAUAUGACUCAGCAAUCCCACUACUGGGCAUAUACCCUGAGAAAACCAUAAUUCAAAAAAAGUCAUGUACCACAAUGUUCAUUGAAGCUCUACUUACAAUAGCCAGGACAUGGCAGCAACCUAAGUGUCCAUUGACAGAUGAAUGGAUAAAGAAGAUGUGGCACAUAUACACAAUGGAAUAUUACUUGCCAUGAAAAGAAAUGAAAUUGAGUUAUUUGUAGUGAGGUGGAUGGACCUACAGUCUGUCAUACAGAGUGAAGUAAGUCAGAAAGAGAAAAACAAAUACCAUAUGCUAACAUAUAUAUGUGGAAUCUAAAAAAAAAAGGUCCUGAAGAACCUAGGGGCAGGACAGGAAUAAAGACGCAGACAUAGAGAAUGGACUUGAGGACACGGGGAGGGGGAAGGGUAAGCUGGAAUGAAGUGAGAGACUGGCAUGGACAUAUAUACUACCAAAUGUAAAAUAGCUAGUGGGAAGCAGCCGCAUAGCACAGGGAGAUCAGCUCGGUGCUUUGUGACCACCUAGAGGGGUGGGAUAGGGAGGGUGGGAAGGAGACGCAAGA